UAAAAAUUUAUUUAUUUUAGGUAGUAACAGAUUUCUUGAAACCUAAAGAAUUUGGCGGUAUUUUAAAUAAUUAGAGGAACUUGUUAUAUAAAUGAUAAUCCACAACAUAUCUUACCUUAAUUAAGUUUGUAUACCGUUGUUUUUAGAUUAUGUUUAUAGAUUAUAAUCAAAAUUAAUUAAUUUUAUAAAUCAAAUCAAGGUGCAGCAUAUUUAGGAUUUAAUGGGUUACAAUAUAUUUAUAUAUACGGAUAAAUUAUGAAAACAUUUUGGAAGGUGGAUUUAAAAGUAAUUUAAAAUUAAGAUGUUUAAAUGAAUAAAAAUUUAAAAUAUGC
rnacentral:rRNA from 1 species